GCCUCCUUAGCUCAGAUGGCCAGAGCGGGUCACUUGUAAUGAUCAGGUCGUCGGUUCGAGUCCGACAGGGGGCUCCA
rnacentral:tRNA from 1 species